GAUGAACGCUGGCGGCGUGCCUAAUACAUGCAAGUCGAGCGAACAGAUGAGGAGCUUGCUCCUCUGACGUUAGCGGCGGACGGGUGAGUAACACGUGGAUAACCUACCUAUAAGACUGGGAUAACUUCGGGAAACCGGAGCUAAUACCGGAUAAUAUAUUGAACCGCAUGGUUCAAUAGUGAAAUACGGUUUUGCUGUCACUUAUAGAUGGAUCCGCGCCGCAUUGGCUAGUUGGUACGGUAACGGCUUACCAAGGCAACGAUGCGUAGCCGACCUGUGAGGGUGAUCGGCCACACUGGAACUGAGACACGGUCCAGACUCCUACGGGAGGCAGCAGUAGGGAAUCUUCCGCAAAAGGCGAAAACCUGACGGAGCAACGCCGCGUGGGAGAUGAAGGUCUUCGGAUCGUAAAACUCUGUUAUUAGGGAAGAACAAAUGUGUAAGUAACUAUGCACGUCUUGACGGUACCUAAUCAGAAAGCCACGGCUAACUACGUG
rnacentral:rRNA from 1 species